CAGCAGCCGCCACGGUAAUACGAAGGGGGCUAGCGUUGUUCGGAUUUACUGGGCGUAAAGCGCACGUAGGCGGACUUUUAAGUCAGUGGUGAAAUCCCGGGGCUCAACCCCGGAACUGCCUUUGAUACUGGAAGUCUUGAGUAUGGUAGAGGUGAGUGGAAUUCCGAGUGUAGAGGUGAAAUUCGUAGAUAUUCGGAGGAACACCAGUGGCGAAGGCGGCUCACUGGACCAUUACUGACGCUGAGGUGCGAAAGCGUGGGGAGCAAACAGGAUUAGAUACCCGCGUAGUCCCUGUCUCUUAUAC
rnacentral:rRNA from 1 species